rnacentral:rRNA from 1 species
CUUUCUUUGCUGGCGACUGGCGCACGGGUGAGUAACACGUAUCCAACCUGCCCUUUACUCGGGGAUAGCCUUUCGAAAGAAAGAUUAAUACCCGAUGGCAUAAUGAUUCCGCAUGGUUUCAUUAUUAAAGGAUUCCGGUAAAGGAUGGGGAUGCGUUCCAUUAGGUUGUUGGUGAGGUAACGGCCCACCAAGCCUUCGAUGGAUAGGGGUUCUGAGAGGAAGGUCCCCCACAUUGGAACUGAGACACGGUCCAA